AUGCUGGGGGACCCAUCGCUGCAAAAGUGUCAUCAAAUAUCCGUGGGGCUCCGCCGCGCUCCUGCCCGGGGAGGGUCGACUUCCUCGCCACUCGGAUGUGCGCUGUGUAGUUGGCAGCGACCUGCCUGUUUCAGUCUCAGCGUGGAGGGUGGGUUGGUUUUUUCUUUUUUUUCUUUUUUUUUUUUUUCCUUUUCUCCCCGCUAUUGGUUUUCUUGCUAUCUGAUCCUGAGCGAGCGCUGCAGCUCGGCGCUUCCCUGCUUUUCCCCGGCUCCGAGCCUUUUGACAGGGAAUGAAACACAGACGCCCAGCGAGACAGACUCCAGCUUCUACAAAGCUCCACUCCCUCCUACCGCCUUUGUCCGUGAACAGCAACUAUUCCAACUCUUCCCGUCGGCACAAGUGAACCUCUGCAUCAGCACUUUCCUAAUGGCCGCUUCGCCGGAGCCCUUCGGCCCUUCUUCUUCCUCGCUUCCUUUCCUCCACCUUGAUGGCUUCCGCUUGCUUUUUCUGGCCCGGCCCUGGCUCCCGCAGCCCCGGCUGCGGGAAAGCAACGGCUCUUCCCGGCGCAUCCGUCUCAGCUCCCCCGUGCCAGCUGCUGCCGUGCGGGGCUCUCGGCCCCGCCGUCCAUCACCGUCCUCUCUGGGCGCCUUGCAUGGAAAAUCGAUGGCACUCGCCGCCUCCCCGGAGUCUUUGCUGGGGUUUCGGCUCCUUGCAGGGCCGGGGGCUGCGUGUGCGGCGAGGAGCCGGGGGCAGAGGGAGGGCUGGGAAGUGAAGCCGCUGGUUUUUAUUGCAGGCAGGGAUUUUUUUGUAUUUAUUAUUUUUUUAAAGGCCGAUAGGAGUCCAAGUCUCUUUCUCAGUGAUGAUUAUUGCUUUAAGCCUUUCGGGAGGCUCCGGGUGCCCCCAGGUCGUCCUGCCCUUAUAACAGCGAGGCCUGUUCGGAGAGGCACCGGCCCAGCAAGGAGCAAGGCGAAACCCUCCUCGGCCUUUUCCCCGGCAGUGGGAAAGGGGUGCAGGGGGGGUGCGCGGGGGGGCCACGAGCAGGACGGGACCCUGCAGCCCCCUGCGGUUUCUGCUGGACUUCGCCGCCCUUGGCCUCCCGCACCCCAGUGCCUUAGCGUCCCGCGGCUGCUGCCUGCUCCUUUUGGGAGACUUGCAGGCUCGCUCCAAAAUGCAGCCGGCGGAGCCCCGUCCUCAGCAUCCCGCCGCUCCGCUCAGCCUCACGGAGCUGCCGGCUCAGCCACCAGGCGCGUAAACGCUGGAAAGCCCGUAAAAAAAGGGGCGUCCUGCACCCAGCCCAUGAGGCGGUCGCCUCCCGCUGCGUCCCGUCUCCCCCUCCGUCCCCGUCUCCCUCCCCGCUGCCUCCAACACCUUUCCAACACCUCUGCUACUGGUUUGGGCACUGGUUUGGGAUCAGACCGGGAUGGGAAAUGCCUUGCUUCCCGCCACCAUUCCCAGCGCUCUCCAAAACCCCCAAGCUCCAGAGCAUCGUGA
rnacentral:lncRNA from 1 species